CAGCAGCCGCGGUAAUACGGAGGGUGCAAGCGUUAAUCGGAAUUACUGGGCGUAAAGCGCACGCAGGCGGUCUGUCAAGUCAGAUGUGAAAUCCCCGGGCUUAACCUGGGAACUGCAUUUGAAACUGGCAGGCUAGAGUCUUGUAGAGGGGGGUAGAAUUCCAGGUGUAGCGGUGAAAUGCGUAGAGAUCUGGAGGAAUACCGGUGGCGAAGGCGGCCCCCUGGACAAAGACUGACGCUCAGGUGCGAAAGCGUGGGGAGCAAACAGGAUUAGAUACCCGCGUAGUCCCUGUCUCUUAUAC
rnacentral:rRNA from 1 species